rnacentral:rRNA from 1 species
GACAUAGGUGGCGAACGUUAUCCGGAUUUAUUGGGCGUAAAGGAUGCGUAGAUGGUGGAAUAAGUUAUUGGUCAAAGUCAAGCUCAACUUGGCGGAAGCUGGUAAUACUAUUCUACUUGAGGAUAGGAGAGGUUGGCGGAAUUCUGUGUGGAGCGGUGAAAUGCGUUGAUCUACAGAGGAACACCAAAAAAGGCGAAGGCAGCCAACUAUUCUAUUCCUGACAUUGAGGCAU